GAUGAACGCUGGCGGCGUGCCUAAUACAUGCAAGUCGAGCGAACGGACGAGAAGCUUGCUUCUCUGAUGUUAGCGGCGGACGGGUGAGUAACACGUGGAUAACCUACCUAUAAGACUGGGAUAACUUCGGGAAACCGUAGCUAAUACCGGAUAAUAUUUUGAAUCGCAUGGUUCAAAAGUGAAAGACGGUCUUGCUGUCACUUAUAGAUGGAUCCGCGCUGCAUUAGCUAGCUGGUAAGGUAACGGCUUACCAAGGCAACGAUGCAUAGCCGACCUGAGAGGGUGAUCGGCCACACUGGAACUGAGACACGGUCCAGACUCCUACGGGAGGCAGCAGUAGGGAAUCUUCCGCAAUGGGCGAAAGCCUGACGGAGCAACGCCGCGUGAGUGAUGAAGGUCUUCGGAUCGUAAAACUCUGUUAUUAGGGAAGAACAUAUGUGUAAGUAACUGUGCACAUCUUGACGGUACCUAAUCAGAAAGCCACGGCUAACUACGUG
rnacentral:rRNA from 1 species